rnacentral:rRNA from 1 species
GACGAACGCUGGCGGCGUGCUUAACACAUGCAAGUCGAACGGAAAGGCCCUGCUUUUGUGGGGUGCUCGAGUGGCGAACGGGUGAGUAACACGUGAGUAACCUGGCCUUGACUUUGGGAUAACUUCAGGAAACUGGGGCUAAUACCGGAUAGGAGCUCCUGCUGCAUGGUGGGGGUUGGUAAGUUUCGGCGGUUGGGGAUGGACUCGCGGCUUAUCAGCUUGUUGGUUGGGUAGUGGCUUACCAAGGCUUUGACGGGUAGCCGGGCUGAGAGGGUGACCGGCCACGUUGGGACUGAGAUGCGGCCCAGACUCCUACGGGAGGCAGCAGUGGAGAAUAUUGCACAAUGGGCUGAAGCCUGAUGCAACAACGCCACGUGCGGGAUGACGUCCUUCGGGUAGUAAACCGCUUUCGCCUGUGACGAAGCGUGAGUGACGGUAAUGGGUAAAUAAGCACCGGCUAACUACGUG